rnacentral:rRNA from 1 species
CCCAGACUCCUACGGGAGGCAGCAGUGGGGGAUAUUGCACAAUGGGGGAAACCCUGAUGCAGCGACGCCGCGUGAGUGAAGAAGUAUUUCGGUAUGUAAAGCUCUAUCAGCAGGGAAGAAAAAAGACGGUACCUGACUAAGAAGCCCCGGCUAACUACGUGCCAGCAGCCGCGGUAAUACGUAGGGGGCAAGCGUUAUCCGGAUUUACUGGGUGUAAAGGGAGCGUAGACGGCAAUACAAGUCGGAAGUGAAAUACCCGGGCUCAACCUGGGAACUGCUUUGGAAACUGUAUGGCUGGAGUGCUGGAGAGGUAAGCGGAAUUCCUAGUGUAGCGGUGAAAUGCGUAGAUAUUAGGAGGAACACCAGUGGCGAAGGCGGCUUACUGGACAGUAACUGACGUUGAGGCUCGAAAGCGUGGGGAGCAAACAGGAUUAGAUACCCGUGUA